GGGAUAAUAGCCUAGAUACCCCUCAAUACUUCGAAAAUAUCUUAUAUAUUCCUACUUUUUUUCUUUCAAAUAUACCCCUCAUUUGUUCCUUCGUUAUUCCAAAAUGUCCCUGCAGUUACCAUUCAUUACCACAGUUAAAAAAAAUUAAAAUGCCACUUUUGCCCUUAACUUAAGGGUAAAUAAAAUAAGUCGGUGAUAGUAGAAGGGUAUAUUUGACAAGACCAAAAAGCAAAAUACUUUUCUGCUCCUAACUUAAGGGCAAAUAAGAAAAGUUAGUAAUGGUAGAAGGGUAUGUUUGAAAAGGCAAAAUAGUAAUUUCAUAGAGAUAAUAUAGUUCAUUAACAGAUUUUAACUUUAGGGACAUAUUUGAAAUAGGUUGGAACGUAAAAAAGGUAUUUUCAAUAUAAGCCUUCUAAGACGGAUAAAUUAGAAAGUCAGAAACUUUUCAGAGAUAUAUAAGCAAUUGUCCCUUUAUUUUAAGAUUGCUCCCUCUACCUGGCUAGCUCUAUAAAUACUA
rnacentral:lncRNA from 1 species